rnacentral:misc_RNA from 1 species
UUUCCGUAGGUGAACCUGCGGAAGGAUCAUUAAAAAAUGAGACCUUGUUUAAGGGUCUAUUAAUAAUCCUACCCUUUGUGAAUUUGUGUUUGAAUUUUUUCUAAUUAUUGAUGUCUUUCCCUGUUUUGAUGGAGCUGUAAUAGCAAAGUCAAUCAGAAUGCACGGAUAUUGGAAAAACCUUUUUUUAAAAUUAAACAUUUUGUAUUCAUUUGUCUAAAAAUUAUUUUUAUAAUAUAAAAACAACUUUUGACAAUGGAUCUCUUGGUUCUCGCAACGAUGAAGAACGCAGCAAAAUGCGAUAAGUAAUGUGAAUUGCAGAAUACGUGAAUCAUCGAAUCUUCGAACGCAUAUUGCACUUUUUUGGUUUACCAAAAAAGUAUGUCUGUUUGAGUAUCAGUAAAGUAUUCUCAUAAAAACUUUUUGUUUUUAUGGUUAUGAGUGUUUUACAACGAUAAACAAGUUGUUUCACUUUAAAUUCUUUGUCUUUUAAAAAAUCAUUUAAAAACUGAUUUUUUUUUAAAAUUGGAUAAAAUUUUCCCGUAAAAAGGAAUAACCUAAACAAUUUUAAGAAUGAAUUAGUUUGAUUUUUUAAAAAAAGACCAAAAGGAAAAAAAGUAAAAAUUAACUUGAUCUCAAAUCAGAUAAGAGUACCCGCUGAACUUAAGCAUAUCAAUAAGCGGAGGAAAAGAAACUAACUAGGAUUCCCUCAGUAACGGCGAGUGAAGCGGGAAGAGCUCAAAUUUGAAAUCUUCAAGGUUCUACCUUGACGAAUUGUAGUUUAAAGAAGUGUUUUCUGUUGGAGUUUUGGUAAAAGUUCUUUGGAAUAGGACAUCAUAGAGGGUGAGAAUCCCGUAUUUGACCAUUAUUUCCAACUUUGUGAUACACAUUCAAAGAGUCGGAUUGUUUGGGAAUGCAGUCCAAAAUGGGUGGUAAAUUUCAUCUAAAGCUAAAUACUGGCGAGAGACCGAUAGCGAACAAGUACGGUGAGGGAAAGAUGAAAAGAACUUUGAAAAGAGAGUUAAACAGUACGUGAAAUUGUCAAAAGGGAAGCGUUUGACACCAGUGUUGUUUUCUCGAAAAUCAAUUAAAAAUGGUGGGAUGUUGUGUUGUAUUGACUUUAUCAGCUUUCUGCACUUUUUUUCCUAUCUUUUUUAAUGCACUUUUCGUUUAACAAGUCAACAUCAAUUUCUUUUGUUGUAAAAGAGUCAUUGGAAGGUGGCUUUCUUUUCGGAGAAAGUGUUUAUAGCCUUUGGCUUCUGCAAUCGGAGAGAUUGAGGUCUGCAGCGUAGAUCCUUCGGGGUUAGAUACAUUUGUGCUAAGUUAUAGCCUUUCAUAGACAACUUGUUGACUAUGAUCAGUCAUGU